CCGGCCAAAGUUCCUCGCAAAGUGGCGAGCGAAGGAUCGCUGAGCCCUGGCGUCUGAGCUGGGGAGGAGCGGGGCUGAGCUAGGCUGAGCCGGGCAGGAGAAGGGAGACAGAAAGAAGGGGAGGAGGAUACUCUUCUCAGGGAUUUGAGCUGGGUUCUUCAUCCUGGCCUUUGCGGUCCGUUAAGCAUCCUCACCGUGCCCUGAGAGCGCUCGAGGCGCACAGGCUGCGCCCUCCCAGGGCCGAUGCCGUGUCCUGCUCCGCUGUUCUGGGACGUCGGGGGCAAAAGCGGAGGAGACGGGAGAGCCGGGCAGGAAAAGCAGGACGCGCAUCCCAGAACGUCCGACUUCGCCUGAGCCUCGAGGUUCCCCAAACACGCUUUUGCCGCCUCACCUUCGUACAGAAGUGGAACGCCUACGCACUUCUCCACCUGGAGAAUUUCCUCUUCCCUGGCGAUCAAUCACCGGCUCAGCUUCACCCCUGGCGUGAAAACUUUCCAGACCUAUUCUAUCAAAACAUCAUUUGGGAAACUCUGAAAUGGGGAAAUCAACUGAAUUUUAGAUAUGCAGAAAAGGAAUCUGAAAAAUCAUCGCUGGACCUUCACAAGAAUUUCCGAUGGGGUUUUGUCCGCUUGCAGGUUGAGGAAAGGAUACAAAUGUUUGACUCAUCAACUCGUGUUUAAGGAACAUGAUCUGGGGCAAACCAGUCAAUUUUUCCAGACCUUACUUUGCUCUGGAAAAGAAGAGUGUUGGACAAGAUCAUCUGCGGAUGCGAUCCAGUUCUGCUAAACUCAGCUUCUGGGAUACCUGAGUGAGUUCAGGAGUGAUCCGGUUUCAGGAGUUAAGGCUACAGUGUAAGAAUUUUGCUGUGUUUCUAUCCUCAGCACUAUUUUGCGAGACGUUUGUAAUUUUUUUUCAUACGAUCCCCAACUUAAAGCUACUGCUUCUGAAGCAAGAUCGUGCUUCCUUCCUUUGAUCUCAAAUUGUUUUAAUGUGAGAAUUAUUGUGGCCCACGUAAAACGCUUUGUCAUUUUCUAGCCAAGAGGACAAUUUUGCUUUCUUAUUGCAUAGCUCUUCUCUUUAGGUUUCAUUAUCACAUCAUCUAAGGAAAUUUCUUGUGAAGUUUCAGGAAAUUUUUGUGACAAAAUAUUGACCAUAGGACAAGUGCUGGAGGGUGAAAUCAUUACUGUCUGUUCUUUAUCCACAGUGUGGCAUGACUGAUGGCCAGAAACCACACUAAUACCUUCAUUUGGGGGAUAAUUUACAACUGACAAGGAGGUUUCACAUGAGUUAUUGCAUUGACUCAACAAACCACGCAAGUGACACUUCUCCCUCAUUUCACAAAGCAGGGGCUAAGGUUAAGAUUCGCCCUUGCCCCUUGGCUAGUAAGCAGCAGGGUUUGGCUGUAACCCAAAGAGCCACAGCUGCCCAUGAAAUUAAGAAAGCUGUUUGCAACUUUACCAGGGAAUUGAAAAUGUUGAAACUGGGCCACAGGGCACUUUACAGAAAGAUGAAGGAUGCUUUCUGUGGCACACAUUAUUGCUACCAGCUGAUUCCUGGUUUCUCUCUCCUCUGGACACCCCCCACCCCCACCCAAA